UACGAAGGGGGCUAGCGUUGCUCGGAAUCACUGGGCGUAAAGCGCACGUAGGCGGCUUUCUAAGUCAGGGGUGAAAUCCUGGAGCUCAACUCCAGAACUGCCUCUGAUACUGGAGAGCUAGAGUCCGGAAGAGGUGAGUGGAACUGCGAGUGUAGAGGUGAAAUUCGUAGAUAUUCGCAAGAACACCAGUGGCGAAGGCGGCUCACUGGUCCGGUACUGACGCUGAGGUGCGAAAGCGUGGGGAGCAAACAGGG
rnacentral:rRNA from 1 species